rnacentral:rRNA from 1 species
CCGGCGAUGUCCGAAUGGGGAAACCCAGUGCAAUUCGUUGCACUAUCGUUAACUGAAUACAUAGGUUAACGAGGCGAACCGGGGGAACUGAAACAUCUAAGUACCCCGAGGAAAAGAAAUCAACCGAGAUUCCCCCAGUAGCGGCGAGCGAACGGGGAGCAGCCCAGAGUCUGAAUCAGCUUGUGUGUUAGUGGAACGGUCUGGAAAGUCCGACGGUACAGGGUGAUAGUCCCGUACACCAAAAUGCACAGGUUGUGAACUCGAAGAGUAGGGCGGGACACGUGGUAUCCUGUCUGAAUAUGGGGGGACCAUCCUCCAAGGCUAAAUACUCCUGACUGACCGAUAGUGAACCAGUACCGUGAGGGAAAGGCGAAAAGAACCCCGGCGAGGGGAGUGAAAAAGAACCUGAAACCGUGUACGUACAAGCAGUGGGAGCACCUUCGGGUGUGACUGCGUACCUUUUGUAUAAUGGGUCAGCGACUUAUAUUCUGUAGCAAGGUUAACCGUAUAGGGGAGCCGCAGGGAAACCGAGUCUUAACUGGGCGUUAAGUUGCAGGGUAUAGACCCGAAACCCGGUGAUCUAGCCAUGGGCAGGUUGAAGGUUGGGUAACACUAACUGGAGGACCGAACCGACUAAUGUUGAAAAAUUAGCGGAUGACUUGUGGCUGGGGGUGAAAGGCCAAUCAAACCGGGAGAUAGCUGGUUCUCCCCGAAAGCUAUUUAGGUAGCGCCUCGUGAACUCAUCUUCGGGGGUAGAGCACUGUUUCGGCUAGGGGGUCAUCCCGACUUACCAACCCGAUGCAAACUACGAAUACCGAAGAAUGUUAUCACGGGAGACACACGGCGGGUGCUAACGUCCGUCGUGAAGAGGGAAACAACCCAGACCGCCAGCUAAGGUCCCAAAGUCAUGGUUAAGUGGGAAACGAUGUGGGAAGGCACAGACAGCCAGGAUGUUGGCUUAGAAGCAGCCAUCAUUUAAAGAAAGCGUAAUAGCUCACUGGUCGAGUCGGCCUGCGCGGAAGAUGUAACGGGGCUAAACCAUGCACCGAAGCUGCGGCAGCGACACUAUGUGUUGUUGGGUAGGGGAGCGUUCUGUAAGCCUGCGAAGGUGACCUGUGAGGGUUGCUGGAGGUAUCAGAAGUGCGAAUGCUGACAUAAGUAACGAUAAAGCGGGUGAAAAGCCCGCUCGCCGGAAGACCAAGGGUUCCUGUCCAACGUUAAUCGGGGCAGGGUGAGUCGACCCCUAAGGCGAGGCCGAAAGGCGUAGUCGAUGGGAAACAGGUUAAUAUUCCUGUACUUGGUGUUACUGCGAAGGGGGGACGGAGAAGGCUAUGUUAGCCGGGCGACGGUUGUCCCGGUUUAAGCAUGUAGGCUGGUUGUCCAGGCAAAUCCGGAUAAUCAAGGCUGAGGUGUGAUGACGAGG